AUUCCAGCUCCAAUAGCGUAUAUUAAAGUUGUUGCAGUUAAAAAGCUCGUAGUUGGAUUUCAGAGUGAGCUCGUCCGGUCGGCCUAAAUGGUCUGAACUGGUUGACUCUCUCUUGCUUGUGGAUCCCGCCCGGAGUUAACUCUUCGGAUGUGGACUUCACAUCGUUUACCUUGAAAAAAUUAGAGUGUUCAAAGCAGGCGUAUGCUUGAAUAUAUUAGCAUGGAAUAAUGGAAUAGGACCCUGGUUCUAUUUUGUUGGUUUUGAGGACCAGAGUAAUGAUUAAUAGGGAUAGUUGGGGGCAUUCAUAUUUCAUUGUCAGAGGUGAAAUUCUUGGAUUUAUGAAAGAUGAACUUCUGCGAAAGCAUUUGCCAAGGAUGUUUUCAUCG
rnacentral:rRNA from 1 species